GCUUAGAUUUGCUGUGGAAUAAUCGCGAUUAAGGUGUGCGUGGAAUUGGGUCCUCGAGCCAUCUGCGCUGUUGAACCUGGCGUCAUCGUAAGCCCUCCUAUGCACUCCAUCCAGGUAUACCACCGGAAUCCUUCCUGGCGAGCCGGCGAAGGUGAGCGAUCG
rnacentral:lncRNA from 1 species